CGAACGCUGGCGGCAGGCCUAAUACAUGCAAGUCGAACGGCUCCUCGGAGCAGUGGCGGACGGGUGAGUAACGCGUGGGAAUGUGCCCUUAGGUACGGAACAACACAGGGAAACUUGUGCUAAUACCGUAUGUGCCCUUCGGGGGAAAGAUUUAUCGCCUUUGGAGCAGCCCGCGUUGGAUUAGCUAGUUGGUGAGGUAAAGGCUCACCAAGGCGACGAUCCAUAGCUGGUCUGAGAGGAUGACCAGCCACACUGGGACUGAGACACGGCCCAGACUCCUACGGGAGGCAGCAGUAGGGAAUCUUGCGCAAUGGGCGAAAGCCUGACGCAGCCAUGUCGCGUGUAUGUUGAAGGUCUUAGGAUUGUAAAAUACUUUCACCGGGGAAGAUAAUGACGGUACCCGGAGAAGAAGCCCCGGCUAACUUCGUGCCAGCCGCCGCAGUAAAAC
rnacentral:rRNA from 1 species